GAGUUUGAUCUUGGCUCAGAAUAAACGCUGGCGGCGUGCCUAACACAUGCAAGUCGAGCGAGAAAGUCCUUUCGGGGAUGAGUACAGCGGCGAACGGGUGAGCAACGCGUGAGAAUCUACCGUUUAGUGAAGAAUACUCUCGAGAAAUCGAGCUUAAUACUGCAUAAGUCCCUACGGGGAGAAAGGUGGCCUCUUUGCUACCGCUAAAUGAGGAGCUUGCGUACUAUUAGCUAGUUGGUGGGGUAAUGGCCUACCAAGGCGAUGAUGGUUAACCGGCCUGA
rnacentral:rRNA from 1 species